GGACGAAUGGCAGCUCUCUUUCAUGAUCGAUUAGUUUCUUUGCGAAAAUCAGACUGUAAUCACCUCCAAGUAUCCCCACAACGUUGGCCGGAUCACUGAGAGCUCUACCAUGGUGGAUGACCGACGCUGGUAAGGUCUUGGCCAAUCAUAAUAUCACAGGAGAAGUGAAAGAAACCUCGUUUACAUUAAAGGCUACACCAAAUAAAAAAAUUGUGGUCCUCUUGCUCUUUUAUUUGAUAUGUAUCGUGUGCUAAUAAAGUAUGUUUAUUUUUGUUGACGAACUAAAAUACGAGAUUGAAACUAGAUUCAAUAAUCAAAAGCAGUUGUGUCUCCCUCA